UGUUUUGAUCCUGUUCUUUUGUGCGGGGUGGGGAGAAGAGAAGAUGCCAUCCUGGGGUCCCACAGGUCCCCAAUCUUUGGCCCAGACAUGUCUCACCGCUGGAAGAGGCCAGCCACAACUUUACCCAAACUGAAACUGCACUUGGAGCUAGGAGCUACAACUGUACUCUGGGUCCUUUCGUGUACUCUGGGCCUGAUCCAACUCCCACUGAAAGCAGUAGAAGACAUAUCACGCUUCAACUGUGCCAACAUGUCAAGAUGUCUCUUGGCGAUUCUUCAUUAAAGGAUGAAGGAAAGAAACCCUGCUUGACAUCUUCCACACAUAAGCCUUCCAGAUCUUCCAGCCCUCUUACAAAGCCCAGAUGGAAGUGCAAAAGAAACAUAUUCCUAUGGUUGUCAUUCAAAAUACUUCCUAUUAACAGGAGUUACACGGAUUUUGUUUAAAGUCAUGAGCUCAUUGUGAUCCUUGAUUCCUGAAGAUCUAUUAGAUCCCUUAUACAGAAUCAAAAGCUUUUUGUCCAUUUAGCCCAUUUUUAUCUACUGUGGCUUGUAGUCGCUCUCCAAAGUUUUAUUCUAGAAUUUUGUACAUGCAACAUAUGUGAUCCACCACUAUGGUUCUUUGCUUGCCCACAACACCCUUCUCUUGCAUCUGUCCUCCCUGCAUCCAGUCCACUGGUGGAUUUUCAAAACCUCAGUGGUACUUUUGUGACCCAUCCACAAGACUUAAACUAUCAUCUUGGAAUCAGUGGCUUAUUAUUGUGUUCCAGUUUACAGUAGACCACAUGGUAUUAGAAUCAGAAUGUUUUUAUUAUAUGGUCAUUGGACUUAGCAGAGGGGAAGCAGCAUACAAUUGUUACCACAAAAUUUAUCCAGACUAAUUCAGAAUACAGUUUCUACCAUCAAUAUCUAAAUCUCUCAGCUGCAUAAAGAAGAGGGGGAAAGCACAUGGUAUGUAUCUGUGAUUCUAAUUAGAGCUGAUCCAGAAAUUCUAGAACAGUAGUUCUUAAUAUGGGGUCCACCAGAUG